UACGGAGGGGGCUAGCGUUGUUCGGAAUUACUGGGCGUAAAGCGCACGUAGGCGGCUUUGUAAGUUAGAGGUGAAAGCCCGGGGCUCAACUCCGGAAUUGCCUUUAAGACUGCAUCGCUAGAAUUGUGGAGAGGUAAGUGGAAUUCCGAGUGUAGAGGUGAAAUUCGUAGAUAUUCGCAAGAACACCAGUGGCGAAGGCGGCUCACUGGCCCGGUACUGACGCUGAGGUGGCGAAAG
rnacentral:rRNA from 1 species